rnacentral:rRNA from 1 species
AACAGUAAUUUUCUUGAAACCCAAAGAAUUUGGCGGUAUUUUAUUCUUUUUAGAGGAACCUGUCCUGUAAUUGAUAAUCCACGAUAGGAGUUACUUAUUUUUGUUUUCAUUUUGUAUACCUCCGUCAUCAGAGUAUCCUUUUAGGGGUAAAUAUCCUUAAUAUAUAAAAUAUUUUAUGUCAGGUCAAGGUGCAAUUUAUAAAUAAGUAGAGAUGGGUUACAAUAAAUUUAUUUAAAUGGAUUAUCAUUAUUAAUGAUGGUAUGAAGGUGGAUUUAAAAGUAAUAUUAUUUUAUUUAUUAAUUUGAUUAUAGCUCUAAAAUAUGCACACAUCGCCCGUCGCUCUUAUUUUAAAAUAAGAUAAGUCGUAACAUAGUAGGUGUACCGGAAGGUGCUCCU